CUUUUAUCUCUCCUUUCUCAGCUUCUCUCCCCUCUCUCCUUCUCUGUUUUUCUCUCUCCUCUCUGCAUUUGUCUCUCUCCUCUGCUUUUAUCUCUCCUUUCUGCUUUUAUCUCUCCAUUCUGCUUUUAUCUCUCCUCUCUGCUUUUAUCUCUUCUCUCUAUCUCUUCUCUCUCCUCUGCUUUUAUAUCUCCUUUCUCUGCUUCUUUCUCCUCUCUGCUUUUAUCUCUACUUUCUCUGCUUUUAUAUCUCCUUUCUGCUUUUAUCUCUCCUUUCUCUGCUUUUAUAUCUCCUUUCUGCUUUUAUCUCUCCUUUCUCAGCUUCUCUCCCCUCUCUCCUUCUCUGUUUUUCUCUCUCCUCUCUGCUUUUAUCUCUCCUUUCUGUUUUUCUCUCCUCUCCUUCUCUCUCCCGUCUCCUUCUCUCCCCUCUCUGCUGUUCUCCCCCGUCUCCCCUCGCACCGCCCGCCCCCCCCUGCCCCCGCCUCUGUUCCUGCUCUGUUCCCUCGCACCGCCCGCCCCCCCCUGCCCCCGCCUCUGUUCCUGCUCUGUUCCCUUACAAACCCUGACUCCUGUCUCUGUUCUUCCUUCUCCUUCUCCCUCCAUCCUCCCGCCCGUCCCGACCCUGCAGCCUCCCGUUAUCCUCGCCUGUGCCCGCUCUUACCCUCCCUGUCCCCCUUCUCCUUCCUCUCUCGUCCUUAUCCUUUCCCUCUCUUCCUCAUCCUCCUUCUCUCGUCCUUAUCCUUUCCCUCUCUUCCUCAUCCUCCUUCUCUCUUCCUUAUCAUCCUUCUCUCGUCCUUAUCCUUUCCCUCUCUUCCUUAUC
rnacentral:lncRNA from 1 species